GCCCCUAUAGCUCAAUCGGUAGAGCAGUUGCCUCUUAAGCAAUUGGUUGCAGGUUCGAGUCCUGCUGGGGGCACCC
rnacentral:tRNA from 1 species